GAUGAACGCUGGCGGCGUGCCUAAUACAUGCAAGUCGAGCGAACAGAUGAGGAGCUUGCUCCUCUGACGUUAGCGGCGGACGGGUGAGUAACACGUGGAUAACCUACCUAUAAGACUGGGAUAACUUCGGGAAACCGGAGCUAAUACCGGAUAAUAUAUUGAACCGCAUGGUUCAAUAGUGAAAGACGGUUUUGCUGUCACUUAUAGAUGGAUCCGCGCCGCAUUAGCUAGUUGGUAAGGUAACGGCUUACCAAGGCAACGAUGCGUAGCCGACCUGAGAGGGUGAUCGGCCACACUGGAACUGAGACACGGUCCAGACUCCUACGGGAGGCAGCAGUAGGGAAUCUUCCGCAAUGGGCGAAAGCCUGACGGAGCAACGCCCGUGAGUGAUGAAGGUCUUCGGAUCGUAAAACUCUGUUAUUAGGGAAGAACAAAUGUGUAAGUAACUAUGCACGUCUUGACGGUACCUAAUCAGAAAGCCACGGCUAACUACGUG
rnacentral:rRNA from 1 species